AUGUUUUGUAUUAUGUACAUGUUAGGCGGCAGAUCUUAUCUGACCUUGGAAGCUAAGCAGGGUCAGCUCUGAUUAGUAUUUGGAUGGGAGACUCUGAACCAAAAAAAGAAACAGGAUUUG
rnacentral:rRNA from 11 species